GAUGAACGCUGGCUACAGGCUUAACACAUGCAAGUCGAGGGGAAACGACGGGGAAGCUUGCUUCCCCGGGCGUCGACCGGCGCACGGGUGAGUAACGCGUAUCCAACCUGCCUCUGACUGAGGGAUAACCCGUCGAAAGUCGGCCUAAUACCUCAUGGCAUCGUCUGCGGGCAUCCAACGACGAUUAAAGAUUUCAUCGGUCAGGGAUGGGGAUGCGUCUGAUUAGCUUGUUGGCGGGGUAACGGCCCACCAAGGCUACGAUCAGUAGGGGUUCUGAGAGGAAGGUCCCCCACAUUGGAACUGAGACACGGACCAAACUCCUACGGGAGGCAGCAGUGAGGAAUAUUGGUCAAUGGGCGGGAGCAUGAACCAGCCAAGUAGCGUGCAGGAUGACGGCCCUAUGGGUUGUAAACUGCUUUUAUGCGGGGAUAAAGUGAGGGACGUGUCCUUCAUUGCAGGUACCGAAUGAAUAAGGACCGGCUAAUUCCGUG
rnacentral:rRNA from 1 species